AGACUGGCUCCUGGCAGUUGUCAGCCCAGGGGCUGGUUGCUGAGGAAGUUCUAAUGCGAAUCCAACCAAUGAACCCCCUUUGCCCUGCCCUGCCUCCAGCAAGCCCGUGCUUCCUCACACUGUCUUCCCCAUGCUGUUUUGUAAGUUUUCUUCCUAAUCUCAACCUCAAUUCCUUUUUCCCAUUCUUCUGAAUGUUAAAGUCAUGACCUUUGCGGUUUAUGGGCCACCAGAGACUGAACUAAAUGUGUUAGCUCAGAGUCCAAACAAGUAAUAGCCAGCCAAUUAAAUUAAUAAUCCAUACCGUUACAAUGUUUAACCACGGCUGUUUCCUCAGCGGUCUGUUUAAAUCACAGCCAAGGCCUGACCCAUUAAAAUGAAUAACUGGAAUUAUGAGAAACUCCAUUUAAUAAACACAGCGAGGAACGCAGCACAAUUGGGCAUGAAAUAUUUAUUACCACUUGAAGCAGAGAGCUGUUUGGGACUUUCAGAUGGGAUUAAUGAAUGCGUUUUAAUUUGACUCACAAGGUGGGAGGUGGGGCUGGAACCGGGAGUCCUUUGGUAGAUUCCUAGAAAAAUCAUCUCACCUUAUAUUAUCACACUGUGAUGGGGCUACUUGUUUAUGUGUGGGCCUCCUUCAAUCCAUAGUAAUCAUGAUCCUACAGGGACUUAGUACUUGCUUAGCAAAUGUUACUG
rnacentral:lncRNA from 1 species